GAGAUGAGAUCAGACAAGAUGAGAUGGGCCGAGAAGAGAGCUUUGCUAACAUCAGAUGUCCAGUCCUUAGAGGUCAACUCAACAAACUGAUUGAACCAUAUAAGCUGCCUGCCUGCCUGCAUGCGUGUGUGCCGUGUGGAGAGCUCCUCCAGGGAUCCAGGGCCUCUUCUCUUCUCCACAACGGCCGGGGACAGCAGCGAUAAGCAGCACAAGCAGAGCUGACCUCCACUGGGCAGCCAUUAACCCUUUCAGGAGCACCAGCAGAGAUGUUCUACUGCGUAACUACAA